GGAAAGAAUCAAAUAACCUUAAAAAAAUACAAGUCUUUUUGAUGAAUUCAAGAUUUUGUUUCCAGAGAGAAUUUUGUUUUCUGCUAAAUACAAGAGAAGAUUGAAGAUAUCACCUCUGAGAGUUUUGGGUGCUUCUUAUAUAGGGCUGGUUUCUUGGAGAUAACUACUUGAACUUGCCCUCCCGCAAUAUUGUAGAUCACAGUUUGUUGGCAACACGUGGGAAGUGUCUCUAUUCCUACUCAUAGUCUAUGUGAUCAUGUUUUUUUUCCCUUG
rnacentral:misc_RNA from 1 species